GGAGAGCUGGGAUUGGGGCUAUUUGAUUUGCCCCUAAGAGUGGGGUUACGUCUUCAUUAUUAGCCAUGAUAAGCCUGGAGUAUGUUGGGGAAAAAAAUAGUCCACCCCUCUGGAUCAUUUGAAUGGCCAAUGUAAACACACGCGUAGCCGCCAACUUCAAAUAAUUGAGACCGCAGAUCCCGUAAAUAUUCGAAAUGUGGAAUUCCGAAGCAAUUUACUCCUAGAGAAAAUUAGAAAGGAAGGGGUGCAUUUGAACACCAAGCAUCCAUUUUACCACAAAAAUCUUUAAACGGACCUUGUUUGACAAGAUAUACUGAAGAGUUGAUGUUGGAGAAUCCACAGCUUCCUGGAGUGAUGAGAGGUGAUGUUAAGUUCCAGUGUCUCCGGGGGAAGUAUCAGGAAAUGCUGCGGAAAAUUAAAAAUACUCCGAGUGGUUCAGGGGCUCAAGUUUCAUACCACCCUGAUGGCUUAGAAAAAAACAAGUAUGGAAAUGGUGGUAUUCGAGGGAGCUGUCGAGGAAUUUCCCAAUAAUCGUAAAGUAAUUUUACGAAUCGCCUCUUCGUCAUGAUCUACUCCUUCCCCUCAGCCUGUUAUAACCGAAGGAGUCAUUGAAUUGUGGGAACACCUGUAGCUACUACUAUGCUGGAAACUCAUGAAAAAGAAAGAAAGAAAGAGGAAAAUGAGCAGUGGUCCACUCGAUGAGAUGAUGGCAAUAUGGAACAGACAUGGACUGAACACUCAACGCUGACAAUCCGCUUUGAUAUGGCUACUGAGGCAAUGAUGUCACUAAUGAGUCACCUUGUGUCUGAUGAGAACAUGAAGAUGAAGUUCUCUGUUUCAUUUCUGGAACUUGUGACUAGAACGCAAAGUAGCCUAGAUAUGUAGCGAAAAGUGGAUUGUUUAUUGAGAGUUUAGGUUAUAUGGAUAUUACUGUUACAUAUUUCCUUUGGACAAUACUUAAGAUUGUCAUUCUAUUUUCCAAAAUAAAAUAUAAAAUAUA